ACCUGGUUGAUCCUGCCAGGUACAUAUGCUAUCUUUAAAGAUUAAGCCAUGCAAAUCUAAGUAAAUUGGUAACAUAACAUAGAAACGGUAGAGAGCUCAUUAAAACAGUUUGAAAAGAAGCAAUGAACAACAUAAAUCUUUGAUUUAUGUGAGUGGAUAUUGUCACUAAUUGUGACAUUAAUACGUUUAACCUGAACUCAACAAAAGCCGCAAGGUUUUGAGAGAGAAUUUAUUGAAAGUGAAUUAACAAAGCUUAUUCACAUCCUUUGGAAAUGUUAUAAAUUAUCAUAUCGAAUGACUGUUUACAGUUUUUCGAAACGGUGCACUUCAAACUGAUCCAUCAAUUACGUUUGUGGUAUCUUUGACCAAAAAGAUAUUUACGGAUAACGAAGGAUUAGGGUUUGAUUUCGGAGAGGUGGCCUGAUACACUGCCACCACUUCUAAGGAAGGCAGCAGGCGCGAAAAUUACUCAAUGACACACCGUCGAAGUAGUGACGAAAAUUACCAGAAUUGGGUCCUUUUAGGAACAGUGUCUGGGAUGAGAACAAUUUAAAACCAUUAACAAGAAACAAUUAGAGGGCAAGUCUGGUGCCAGCAGCCGCGGUAAUUCCAGCUCUAAGAGUGUAUCUGAAAGUUGCUGCAGUUAAAAAGCCCAUAGCUGAUUUCAUCGAGAACGAGGUGUAUAAUCAAUUGAGCGAUCGAUUGGUUAAAAUUUAGUUGUCAAAAAGACUCUAGUUACUGCUAUCGGCUCUGGAGACAGAGAACGGGCCCUCCUAGCCUUACGCAGUUAGGAGGUAAACUAGAAAGGAUUAACUGUGAAUAAAUUAGGGUGUUCAAAACAAGCUUUAUAGCUUUGAAUAGAUUAGCAUGGUAUUACGAAAUAUGACAUAUCUUCCACAAGUUUUGUAGUACUUGUACUGAAGGAAAGAUUUGUAAUGAGAAAAGAGAAUUGUUGGAGCCACCUUUAUUCACUGAGAAGAGGUGAAAUUCUAUGAUCCAGUGAAGAAACACUAAUGCAAAUGCACUUUGCUAGGAUGUUUUUAUCAGUCAAGGACGAAAGUUCAGGGCGCGAAGAUGAUUAGAUACCAUCGUAGUCUGAACCGUAAACAAUGUUGAUUUAGGAUCCGGAAUCAUUUAUUAUGACUUUCCGGGCACUAUACGAGAAAUCUAGAAUAUUCGAACUCUGGGGGUAGUAUAGUCGCAAGACCGAAACUUAAAAGAAUUGACGGAAGAGCACCACCAGGCGUGGAACCUGCGGCUUAAUUUGACUCAACGCGGGAAAACUCACCAGGACAGGACAUAAUAAGGAUUGACAGAUUGAUAGCUCUUUCAUGAUAAUAUGAAAGGUGGUGCAUGGCCGUUUUUAGUUGGUGGUUUGAAUUGUCUGGUUAAUUCCGAUAACGAACAAGACCUUUUCCUGCUAUUUAGCUUUGGAGGGUCUAAUAAAAUUAGGUAAACUUGUUUAUCUAUAUACUUUGGUAUUUGAAGUAAGCUUCUUAGAGGUACUCUUUUUGUUUGUGAAACAAUUAAAAGGAAGAAAGACAAUAACAGGUCUGUGAUGCCCUUAGAUGUUCUGGGCUGCACGCGCGUUACAAUGAUACAUUCAUAUAGUGAUACCUUACUUGACAAAGUUUAGGGAAUCUCAGAAACUAUUUCGUGAUGGGGAUAGUGUUUUGCAAUUAUCGCACUUGAACGAGGAGUGCCUUGUAUAGAUGUGUCAUCAACGCAUCUAGAAUACGUCCCUGCUCUUUGUACACACCGCCCGUCGCUCCUACUGAUUGAAUUUUGUGAUGAGGACCUUGGACCGUUGACGUUGUCCCCUCGGGGGCAGGUUUUACUCUUGUAGUAUUAACCUUAUAGAAAUUUGUUCGAAUCUUGCAAUUUAGAAGAAGGAGAAGUCGUAACAAGGUCUCCGUAGGUGAACCAGCGGAAG
rnacentral:rRNA from 1 species